rnacentral:rRNA from 1 species
AACGAACGCUGGCGGCAUGCCUAACACAUGCAAGUCGAACGAAGGCUUCGGCCUUAGUGGCGCACGGGUGCGUAACGCGUGGGAACCUGCCCCUCGGUUCGGAAUAACAGUUAGAAAUGACUGCUAAUACCGGAUGAUGACUUCGGUCCAAAGAUUUAUCGCCGAGGGAUGGGCCCGCGUAGGAUUAGCUAGUUGGUGGGGUAAAGGCCUACCAAGGCGACGAUCCUUAGCUGGUCUGAGAGGAUGAUCAGCCACACUGGGACUGAGACACGGCCCAGACUCCUACGGGAGGCAGCAGUGGGGAAUAUUGGACAAUGGGCGAAAGCCUGAUCCAGCAAUGCCGCGUGAGUGAUGAAGGCCUUAGGGUUGUAAAGCUCUUUUACCUAGGGAUGAUAAUGACAGUACCUGGAGAAUAAGACUCCGGCUAACUCCGUGCCAGCAGCCGCGGUAAUGUAUCG